rnacentral:rRNA from 1 species
UGGGGAAUAUUGCACAAUGGGCGGAAGCCUGAUGCAGCAACGCCGCGUGCGGGAUGACGGCCUUCGGGUUGUAAACCGCUUUCGCCUGUGACGAAGCGUGAGUGACGGUAAUGGGUAAAGAAGCACCGGCUAACUACGUGCCAGCAGCCGCGGUGAUACGUAGGGUGCGAGCGUUGUCCGGAUUUAUUGGGCGCAAAGGGCUCGUAGGUGGUUGAUCGCGUCGGAAGUGUAAUCUUGGGGCUUAACCCUGAGCGUGCUUUCGAUACGGGUUGACUUGAGGAAGGUAGGGGAGAAUGGAAUUCCUGGUGGAGCGGUGGAAUGCGCAGAUAUCAGGAGGAACACCAGUGGCGAAGGCGGUUCUCCGGGCCUUUCCUGACGCUGAGGAGCGAAAGCGUGGGGAGCGAACA